CUGGAAGCAAUAUCAUAAUCAUUAAGAAAAAUAGUUUUUGUCUCAGCAAUUACUCAAGACAGUCACCUAUUAAAAGGUGCACAAUACUGGAGGGAAGAGAGGGUGCAGAUCUAAGCACAAGACAAGGUUCAACUCUCAGUUCUAUUACAAGUUAUAUGAUAAGACAAAAGGACAUCUGACUUCUGAGUAUGAGCCUGCAUAGUACAAGCAAUGAAAAAGAAUUAAAAACAGGUGAUGAUGCUGAGAAAAACCAGAUAUGUUCAGUGCCACACUGUGGAAAGGAGAGGCAUGCAAAAGACCGGGCCAAAUCUCCAGGUCUGCCUGGGAGGAAGGCAGGCCCAGCCCUUGAGUCUCGAACACAGAUGCCAACAAGAACAAUGGCACCACCCAGGGAGAGCACAUGCUGAUGGAGUAUCUGGAGAAUCCAAAAAAAACAUUACCCCUGAAACAGAAAUGAUCUUCUCUGGCAUUAAGAAAAAGUCAGGGGACCAGCAGAUGGCAUAAUAAU